UCUAUUAUUCCCCGUAAAACUUGAUGCCAG
rnacentral:piRNA from 1 species